UUAGCUGUUUGUUGCUGCAGGCACUGAGCACUGAGCGGAGCAGAGAGGCCAUCUUCUGCAGCCUGCAGAGCAUGGAUCUACUGCAGGAAAUCAUGGUGGAGCUGCAAAGUGGAAGCCAAAAAGUAGAUGCCAGCCCAAGGACAAGCCCAGCCUUGGCUCACCGAUGCAGACUUCUGGGGUGCCCACAGCCCCCCUUCUCUGCAGACCCCACCCCUGCCGGAGCCUCCCAAGAGUGACUCCCACUGUCUGCCCCACACGAAGUAAACCUAUAAAGUAUC